UGAAUCAUAAGUUAGGCUAGGCUUGACUUGAUAAAAAAAUUAUUUGAAAAUUUCAAGUUUCAGAUUUUCCUGUAAUGCUGGCUACGUGAGUGAUGACCUACAAAUGAACCUUUUCCUCUUCAAUAGAUGCUGGGUGGAUAAACUACAGGUGUCCAAAUUUAUAACUCUUGGCAAAAGAAAGAGAUGACCAAGACACUAUGCUGCCAGGAAGGCCGAGGAAGAGGAGAAAAGGAGAGAAAUACAGCAG